AUCGAACAGUAAGAAGCGAUACCACACAUAAUGCUGCUGUUCAGGUGGACUUGAUGAACUGCCUCAUGGGUAGACUUAACAUCGGACUGGCUGAGAGAUUUAUCAUUCUGGUGUCAAAGUUUUAUUACAUUCUGGGUAUGAAGGGCAUUUGAUAUAUUUUUCUUAACUAUGGGGUUUAUUUUUAUAAAUAUGGGUUGACUGAUCAGUUCAUUGACUGGGGAUCCCUUAAAAGAAAGUUAAGUUUUCCCAUUGUGAACCUAAAGGAUCGGGGAAGUAAGUUCAUUUGUUAAACUCUCUUUUGGGAAAACAAAACUUCUCUCCCCUGAAACUAUUAUCUUUGAUUUUUCAAAGGGCCUUGAUUGGUGGUUGUGCCUCAGUUAGAAUUUGUGGGACCUUGGUUGCUAUAUAGUUGGCAUUUAUAAAAUCUGAAGUAUCAUAAAUAAAGUUAUUUAUUUAAUUAUGCUACCAGUCUUUUUUACUGGUCUGAUUACUUGGUUCAUUCAUUAAAGUUGAUUGUGUGAGAGUAAAAGUAAGACACAGCUAAUCUAGCUUGCUGCAGCUGAUGGCUGAGGAGCCUUUCCAGGACGGUUGUGCUUAUACGAAGUAAAAGAAUUAUGUCGAUUAUUUUCUUUAUGAAAAUAAAGAAACUAGUUCUUCCAAGGAAGUUGAAAAAGUUUGGUGUAGAUGUUGGUGUCAGAUGGGUCUGACUAACCUUCCAGUGCUGUCACCCAUAGUGAGGUGCCCCAGGUAGCUAGGAGAGUGAGUACAUGGAUAGAAGAGUGCUCUUGCCUUCCCCUUCAGUUCCUGCCUUCGUUUGCAGAAAGGAAAUGGAGAUGUGUUUCUUGUAGAAAGGAUCUUAAUUUGGAUCCUGAAACUGCUGAUUUGAAUUUCAGUCUUAUGCCAUUUAAACUUUUCUUUCUUUCUUUUUUUUUAAGUCAUCUUGCUUUUCUCCCCCUUUUCGCUGUCUUCCUUACAGGGCAGUUGCUAGAGUCAGGAGCCAACAGCUAGUUACUUAUUAAAGCCAGUCAAGCCCAGGUGAGGUCAGAAGGAAUUUCCUAUUUCCGGUCCCAGUGAAAUGUUGCCUCUUAGUAAAGUUUUGCCCCUUUGGCCAUUGUCUUGUAUAAGUCUUUCCAUUUUGGAUCUUUUUACUAACCAUUCAAAACUUCAUUUCAUUAAAAAAUGUGAAAAAUAAUAGCAACAAAAAGGCAAAAAUGUUCAGUGUAUUUUUCUUUUAUUUCUUUUCUUUCCUUUUUUAAAAAGAUGGGGUUUUGCUAAGUUCCCCAGACUUGUCUCAUACUUGCAGUCCUCCUGCCUUGGCCUCCUGAGAAAUUGGAAUUAUAAGCAUAUGCCACUGUGCCUGGUUCAGAAUGGCAUAUUUCUUAAGAUUUUUUUUAAUGUAUAUUGAUGACCUUAGUGAAAAUAUUUAACUUAUUGCUCAAGUUCAAGUUCAAGCUCAGAUACCCAAGUACUACGGAUUAUCCAUCCUGGAAAUGUCCACAUUCUUUUUGUUAUUAUUUAAUGAUGCUGGAGGACUCCCUGUAACCUGCAUUGCUCACUUUUUAAUUUUUCCAAUGUUGAAAAGGGCUUUCCUUCUCCACUAUUCCUUUUUUCUUUUACUAAAAUUCACUUUCUAAGAUAAUGGCUUUUUCCAUACUGCCCCAUACUCAGACCAAACGUGGGGGUAAACUCCUGAGAAAGGAGACAGAUGAGGAGACACCUUGAGGGUACUUUCUGUACCUGGAGCCAAAUAAUAUUUACUUAGUUCUCUCAUUUUGGCUGUAAACACAUCUGAAGAGAAUAAAAAGACAUUUACUAGGCCUUUUGAUACAAAACUCAGCCCCUGUGAAAUUGACGCACCUUACAUUUUCAUUCCCCCACCCAUGAAUUUUAUGUUUCACUGUUAAUGAUCCCAACUCGAUGGAAAUGACUUUUAGGAACUUGUGUUUUCUCGUUAGCUAGAUAUAAUUUCUGGAAAUUGAUUUGCGUUUUCUAACUUGUAAUAUUAAAGUAAGCUGUUGAGGAUAACUGACCAUGUCCAGUGUUACCCUGAGUUUGGUGGCAAAAAUAACUAAAGAACAAAUGGAUUCUGCUCAGAUUACAAUGACUGUUUCAUUCUCCUUUUAGACCAGAAGUUAUGUAGCCUGGUCUCCAAAAUGAUGCAUAACUUUUCAUCAUCUUAACAAACUAAUCUUGUUUAUUCCUUAAUAAAUCUAUAUACCCUAAAGUUUCAUAGGGAGAAAGAAAAUGAGGAAGGAACAAGUAAAUUUUAAGAAUGUUUAUUGGGUAAGAAGCUGAGACAAAACUGAGCCAUGUCUUAAGGGAUCUUUCUCAUUUUCUUUGUAUCUAACCUAAGAUCUGAUGUUAGUAUCAAAUUAUUUCAUCCAUUUCCAUCCUGUUUGCUCCUUGAGAGGGGGAAAUCAAUUCCAAUUACACUUUACUAUGAUGGAAGAUGUUUUCUCAUGAAAAAUGCCAAUACAGAUUUUUUAAAAUCUAUUCUUUUCCAAAUGCACUUUCUAAUUUUUUGCUUUUAAAAUAGCUUCUUGGAACCAAUUUUAUUGUAUUUGUACUUAAUUUUUGUUCUCAUCUAAAUGUGCAUUUUCUGACUGUAUAGAAGAAGCUUUGUUAUGUAAUUUAAUAAUAAAUUAAAUAUCUAAA
rnacentral:lncRNA from 1 species